UAAUACGAAGGGGGCUAGCGUUGCUCGGAAUUACUGGGCGUAAAGGGCGCGUAGGCGGAUGUUUAAGUCGGGGGUGAAAGCCCGGGGCUCAACCUCGGAAUUGCCUUCGAUACUGGACAUCUUGAGUACGGGAGAGGUGAGUGGAACUCCGAGUGUAGAGGUGAAAUUCGUAGAUAUUCGGAAGAACACCAGUGGCGAAGGCGACUCACUGGCCCGUUACUGACGCUGAGGCGCGAAAGCGUGGGGAGCAAACAGGAUUAGAUACCCUGGUAGUCCACGCUGUAAACGAUGAGUGCUAGUUGUCGGGCGGCAUGCCGUUCGGUGACGCAGCUAACGCAUUAAGCACUCCGCCUGGGGAGUACGGUCGCAAGAUUA
rnacentral:rRNA from 1 species